UACAGAGACUGCAAGCGUUAUUCGGAUUCACUGGGCGUAAAGGGUGCGCAGGCGGCCGUGUGUGUGAGGCGUGAAAGCCUGGAGCUUAACUCCAGAAUUGCACCUCAAACUACACGGCUAGAGCAUUGGAGAGGGUAGCAGAAUUCACGGUGUAGCAGUGAAAUGCGUAGAUAUCGUGAGGAAUACCAGAGGCGAAGGCGGCUACGUGGACAAUUGCUGACGCUCAGGCACGAAAGCGUGGGGAGCAAACAGG
rnacentral:rRNA from 1 species